rnacentral:rRNA from 1 species
UCAGCGUAGUAACUCACCUCGCUCCAGAGCCCGCGC